UGGGAAGAAGAGGGGAGGCACAGAGGAUUUUUACAGCAGUGAAAACUCUGUAUGAUACUCUAAUGGGGGAUACGUGUCAUUUACACAUUUGUCGAAACCCAUAGGAUAUAAAACACCCAGAGAGAACCCUAAUGUAAACUACGGACUUUGGGUGA